UAAAAAUUCAAAUUAGGGUUUACCCAGCGUUCUCAGCUACUUAUACAGACGCCGCCCCAUGCUCUAAUACAGUAACCUCAGGGCAAGAUGAUCGAGAGAUCUGAUUCGCUGUUCUUCCAUCAGUCCGCUCCCUGUAUACACCGAUCUCUCUUUGGUCUAUGUGGAUCGGAUCAUAACAUGUUGAUUCUUCAUAGGUUGUUACUUGUGCUCAAAGUUUACAAAACAUGCAUCGAUCAGCGAUUGCAUACAUCUAGUUUCAACUGAAGACUUCAAGGCGGCUUAUUAUGCUUUCUUGGAGGUUUCUUUCCUGUCAUAGCAAUGAAAUCCUCCUCAAUUUCCUUACGCGAUAGCUGGAUCGAAAAGUUGGGUCUUUCUUCCUUCUUAUCAAGGUUCCUUCUAGGCCUGGUUUUCUACAAUCUCUGACCGCCUGCCUCUGCAUAUCUUUUGAGAGAAUCGCUGGUGGAGGUGAUAGCGAUGAGGCUUUGGAUGUCAACUUUUUCAAAGAUUUGUAUUUCAAAGGCGUGGAGUUCUCUUCACCUAGCUUCAUUUGGGGAUGAUGAAGCCUUGAGCGGAGAUGAUGAUGACUUCAUCUCAAAAUCCAACUUCUUCUGCCAAUCAUCAGUGGAUCUAGGUUGUCCUGCAGAAGGGUUCUGGUUAGCGUCGCCUGGAUAUGAAGAUUCGUCAUCUUCAACCACAUGCAUUGCUCGAACUGGAUCAACUUUCAUGCAACUCAAUAGAUGUUCUUUCCCCCACGUCAACCAUGUAAGGAAAGUGAAAUUAUGAAGACUUAUAGCUCGCUCCAUCCACAGAUUUAAAUGUUGUAGCUAGUAUCUUCUUGGAGAUUUUUAUUCUUGAAGGUGGACAUGUGAAGGCAGUGAGGAGAGGAGCUCAAGACCAUAGCCCGGUUGCCUCAAGAAUAUCUAGUGCAAAGGUUGCAAAUGCACCUAACUAGGCAUCUAUCAUUUACUUGUUCUAGGUCCACUUUUUUAAGGUGGUGUUUUCUCAAAUAACCGGAAGAUUGGUUGUUACAUGGAAGUUUAGUUCUUCAUUCAAACAAAGUCUUAACGCCCCGUUGGUCAGCUGUGCUGGUUAUUCAACCUAUGAGUUCUAAUUGUAACAUGUUGAUUGCUCGUAAUGUUUUCAUUUUUGUUUGCAUCUUCAUUGUUGUACGUUUUGGUUUUUCUCCUAGUAAGAUGUAUUGAUAACAAAUAGAAUAAUUUUUUAUUGAUGUUUUGAUCUUUAA